rnacentral:tRNA from 1 species
GUUGAUGUAGUAUAGUGGUGAGUAUCCCCGCCUGUCACGCGAGAGACUUGGGUUCGAUCCCCGACAACGGUG